GAGCCUGCGUCCCAUUAGCUAGACGGUGGGGUAACGGCCUACCGUGGCAACGAUGAAUAGCAGGCCUGAGAGGGUGGCCUGCCACACUGGGACUGGAACACGGCCCGGACUCCUACGGGAGGCAGCAGUGGGGAAUAUUGCGCAAUGGACGAAAGUCUGACGCAGCGACGCCGCGUGGAGGAUGAAGGUUUUCGGAUCGUAAACUCCUGUCAAGAGGGAAGAAACCUAUCAAAACUAAUACUUUUGGUAAUUGACGGUACCUCUAGAGGAAGCACCGGCUAAUUCAGUGCCAGCAGCCGCGGUAAUACUGAAGGUGCAAGCGUUAAUCGGAAUCACUGGGCGUAAAGCGCGCGUAGGUGGCUUUGUAAGUCAGAUGUGAAAGCCCACGGCUCAACCGUGGAAUUGCAUUUGAUACUGCAUCGCUAGAGUAUAGGAGAGGGAAGUGGAAUUUCUGGUGUAGGAGUGAAAUCCGUAGAGAUCAGAAGGAACACCCGUGGCGAAGGCGACUUCCUGGACUAUUACUGACACUGAGGUGCGAAAGCGUGGGGAGCAAACAGGACUAGAUACCCUGGUAGUCCACGCCGUAAACGAUGGAUACUAGAUGCCGGAG
rnacentral:rRNA from 1 species